CCUACGGGUGGCAGCAGUGGGGAAUAUUGCACAAUGGGGGAAACCCUGAUGCAGCGACGCCGCGUGAGUGAAGAAGUAUCUCGGUAUGUAAAGCUCUAUCAGCAGGGAAGAAAAUGCAGUUACCUGACUAAGAAGCCCCGGCUAACCCCGUGCCAGCAGCCGCGGUCAUACGUAGGGGGCAAGCGUUAUCCGGAUUUACUGGGUGUAAAGGGAGCGUAGACGGCGCUGCAAGUCCGGAGUGAAAGCCCAUGGCUGAACCAUGGUACUGCUCGGGAAACUGUGGAGCUGGAGUGCGGGAGGGGCAGGCGGAAUUGCUAGUGUAGCGGUGAAAUGCGUAGAUAUUAGGAGGAACACCGGCGGCGAAGGCGGACUGCUGGACCGUAACUGACGUUGAGGCUCGAAAGCGUGGGGAGCAAACAGGAUUAGAUACCCGGGUAGUC
rnacentral:rRNA from 1 species